GAUGAAGAACGUAGUGAAAUGCGAUACGUAAUGUGAAUUGCAGAAUUCAGUGAAUCAUCGAAUCUUUGAACGCAUAUUGCGCUCUCUGGUAUUCCGGAGAGCAUGCUUGUUUGAGUAUCAGUAAACACCUCAACUUCCAUAUCUUUUUUGAAAUGGGAGUUGGACUUGAGUGAUCCCAACGCUUUUCCUCACCGAAAAGUGGCGGGUUACUUGAAAUGCAGGUGCAGCUGGACUUUUCUCUGAGCUAUAAGCAUAUCUAUUUAGUCUGCCUAAAAAACAGAUUAUUACCUUUGCUGCAGCUAACAUAAAGGAGAUUAGUUCUUGUGCUGACUGAUGCAGGAUUCACAAAGACAGGCUUCGGCCGACUUUGUAAACUCGAUCUCAAAUCAAGUAAGACUACCCGCUGAACUUAAGCAUAUCAAAAGCGGAGGA
rnacentral:misc_RNA from 1 species